GUGAAGCACUCUAAGAGGAGGAGCUUGCUCUAGAGAGAGAGAAGGGAGUUCAGCAAGAAGGCGGGAAGAAAGCGGUGAAGAAGCGGCAGAGAACAAGCCUCGUCGGAGUUGCGGGUCUUCGCCAGAAUUUGCCAAAAUCAGUCAGUAAAAAAGCGAGAAACCUAGGCCGUUUGCUGUGAAAUUAUAUCGUCAAAGAGAUAAACCAACAAGGGUAAAAGUCGGAUAUCCCUCGAGAGGCGCUAUGCGUGCGCCAUCGAGAAAGCUCUCGUGAGGAAGACCGUGAGCCUAAAGAACAACGGAUGUGGUGCUUGCAUGAGUGCUAUGAGGUCGGGCCGAAGUGACAUGGUUAGGGACCUCCCGAGAGGCGCUAUGCGUGCGCCAUUGAGAAAGCUCUCGUUGGAAAAGGCUAACGUGUUCACGAGGCACUUCGGAGUAGUUCUCGUUUGACGAGCAGCUUUAAGGGAAAGGAGGUAGCUGAAGGAUAAGCUUACUUUACUGCCUGCAGCAUGUUUAGCAUAUCUAUGUUUAUGUGCAAACCUAUGUAAUUUUGGAUAUGUUUAAGAUGUUCGGUUAUCAUUUGAUGAUGUCCA